rnacentral:tRNA from 1 species
GAGAUAUUAGCUCAGUUGGUAGAGCAUCACACUUUUAAUGUGAGGGUCAAGAGUUCAAGCCUCUUAUAUCUCA